rnacentral:misc_RNA from 1 species
AAGGAAUGAGUGUUGUCAAAGACACUGGUCGAACGACAUUAGGAAUUAUUGCAACAGGUGACUGGGAUAUUUCAGAUCUCAACUCAGGAGUAUUUGUCAUAGAAUGACCAGCUGGGUUAAUAACAUUCUUCUUGUCCUUAUAAAUAAAGGAUUUAAGGACAGCAAAAAAAAUUUAUAGAGGGUCAAUUACAAUCAGAAAAAAAUAAUAGAAGCAGAAAAUAUCUUAUUUGUAAGCACUGAUGCUUAUAUAGUAUUCUCCACCAAUUUGUUAGAAACCAAAGUGAAAUGCAGAUGAGGCCUUUUGAUUACUCAAAAAAGUCAAAUAAUCGUUAGUCCUGAUUAAUUAGGAUCAAGUAAAUGAACUAAACAAUUGGUUCAAUCUCUGUUCAACUUCAAUAACAUUCAUGCAUUCAUUAAUGGGAGCGUUAGUAAUACCAUUGGGUACAAAACCUGCAUCCUACAGUUUCAGAAACAUAUAUCACAGAAUGAGAAUGAGAUUUCACUCAUAAAUGAAGAAAAAAAACAUUUCAGUUCAAAUACCUCUGAUAUCAUGUAAUUGCUUACAUCAGGAGCAUGAGGUAAAUUUAUUGCCUCAUCUUCAUAAAAGACUUCAGAUAUUCUUCGUAUUAGAUUCUCAUUAAAUUCUUUGAAAAAACAACCUCUGACAUUGCAAGCAACAUUUCUUGCCACACAGAGGACUGGAACAGCAUUUGCAGUCUCUGCUUGAGAAGCAUAGUAGGGUGUGAAUGCAGGAACUACAUGA